rnacentral:rRNA from 1 species
GACGAACGCUGGCGGCGUGCUUAACACAUGCAAGUCGAACGGAAAGGCCCUGCUUUUGUGGGGUGCUCGAGUGGCGAACGGGUGAGUAACACGUGAGUAACCUGCCCUUGACUUUGGGAUAACUUCAGGAAACUGGGGCUAAUACCGGAUAGGAGCUCCUGCUGCAUGGUGGGGGUUGGAAAGUUUCGGCGGUUGGGGAUGGACUCGCGGCUUAUCAGCUUGUUGGUGGGGUAGUGGCUUACCAAGGCUUUGACGGGUAGCCGGCCUGAGAGGGUGACCGGCCACAUUGGGACUGAGAUACGGACCAGACUCCUACGGGAGGCAGCAGGGGGGAAUAUUGCACAAUGGGCGGAAGCCGGAUGCAGCAACGCCGCGUGCGGGAUGACGGCCUUCGGGUUGUAAACCGCUUUCGCCUGUGACGAAGCGGGAGUGACGGUAAUGGGUAAAGAAGCACCGGCUAACUACGUG